rnacentral:rRNA from 1 species
CGAAGGGGGCUAGCGUUGUUCGGAAUUACUGGGCGUAAAGCGCAUGUAGGCGGCUUUCUAAGUCGGGGGUGAAAUCCUGAGGCUCAACCUCAGAACUGCCUUCGAUACUGGAGAGCUCGAGUAUGGAAGAGGUAGGUGGAACUGCGAGUGUAGAGGUGAAAUUCGUAGAUAUUCGCAAGAACACCAGUGGCGAAGGCGGCCUACUGGUCCAUCACUGACGCUGAGAUGCGAAAGCGUGGGGAGCAAACAGGAUUAGAUACCCUGGUAGUCCACGCCAUAAACGAUGAGAGCUAGCUGUUGGAGGGUUUACUCUUCAGUAGCGCAGACAACUCGAUAAGCUCUCCGCCUGGGGAGUACGGUCGCAAGAUUA